rnacentral:rRNA from 1 species
CCAAUAGCGUAUAUUAAAGUUGUUGCAGUUAAAAAGCUCGUAGUUGAAUUUCGGGACUAAUAUGUCGGUCGUGCCUCGGUACGUACUGGUUUAUUGGUUUCUCCUUUCUGAAGAACCAUGAUGUCAUUUAUUUGGUGUCGUGGGGAAUCAGGACUGUUACUUUGAAAAAAUUAGAGUGUUUAAAGCAGGCUCACGCUUGA